ensembl:piRNA 21ur-9444 ncRNA
UGUUGGUAAAGCUGUGGAAAU